AGGUCCUGACUAGGCAUCCGGCUCUUUGUCCUCUGUACCUGCGUCGCUUCCUCUUGCAAAUAACGGAGUAACAAGUUGGGAAAUGUCAGCUCCCGUUCGGCUCAGAAGCUUGGGAAUUUGGAUUGUGCACAUAAACACCUGCUUAUAAGAGAUCUGUGUAAUAUCUACAUUACACUUAUGUUGUCAAAGACAUAUACACACACAGACAGAAACCAAGUUGGAAAAUGACGGCUCCAGUUAAGUUCAGAAUCCUCUUUGGAGAAAACUACUCGCAGCAAUUGACUCUUCCGUCUGGAAUACAUGUGUCUGUGAAUGAACUCUCAAAUAAGAUGAUGAGACUGAAAGGCAAGUUUAGGCUUCAAUUCAAGUGAAUAGAAUUAUUACACUAUUAACCCAAUGCAAACAAAAAACACAAAUAAAACUAAAUUGCACAUAUCCUAUAUCACACAAAUACACAAAUAGAGUAACACACUUAUAAAGAAGAGAACCGGAUUAUUACACUAUUGCACUUCAAACAAGAAACACAAACUCAAUUGCACAACUAAUUGCAUUACUAAUUGCAUUAGUACUGUACAAAGAUAGAGGUAUUUAAUAGAUUCCCCCGCCCCCCUUACCUCGGGCUUCCAGUGGGGAGACCUGAAGUCAACUACCCGUCGCAUAAUUUUGAGGGGGAGACCUUCCCAGGCAGUAGCCUGCCUAGCUCACAAACUAGAAUCAGGGCGCCCUCUCCGACAAGGUUAAAUGACC
rnacentral:lncRNA from 1 species